UCACUCGCCGGUGAUGGGCAGAUUGGGAGUUCCCACCCCAAGCUCCCCGCCACUUCGGGCCUGCAGAGCCCACCGGCUGCUGACGCUCUCUGCUCGCACGCCCGACAGCAUCGCCAGCCUGCCGUGCCCCAACAGACAUGGGACUACGAUACCCACCAGGGAACAGGGUACUUGGUCUUACUCUGUGGCCUCAGCACCAGAACAAUAGCAGGAGCUAAUAAUAAUAAUCAUUCAGUGAAUGAAUAACUCCGUUUGCCCCACCUACAACUGGCUUUCCUGGGAAUGGUCCACAGAGGUUGCGGGACAAGUAGCUCACUCUUCUUUUGGUUACACUGAACUCAUGUGGCAAAUAUUCUUUGCCGGCUCGUGCGCUCAGACCUGGAGGAACGCAGGGGAAGAAAAUCUAGAACUUGACUCCCAGUACGCACUAAGGCUGUGUGCUGGGUGGAAGAGGACCACCUACCCUGAUUGAGGAGGACCAUUCUUCUGUCAAGAGUAUAGGAGUAGCUGGGCUCCCUGCUGGAACCUCCAAACAAACUUUCAAGGUCCAUUAUUAGAAGCUUUAAAAAGAGAGAGAAUUAAAUGAAAACCAGCAUUCUCAAUCUCAGAAAAGAUUGCUACUGAAGACAUAUUAUCCAGUCCCUUAAUUAUAUCCAUAGUUUGAUGUCCAUUUUUUUCUUUUUAAAAUUGAGCAUUUAAAUAAAUAAAACGAUGUACAAAAUGAAGACAAAUGACAAGAGGCUAAUGAUUGCAGACCAAAACUAAACAUUCUCCCCCCCUUUUUUUAACAGAGU